UCCUACGGGAGGCAGCAGUGGGGAAUAUUGCACAAUGGGCGCAAGCCUGAUGCAGCCAUGCCGCGUGUAUGAAGAAGGCCUUCGGGUUGUAAAGUACUUUCAGCGAGGAGGAAGGUGUUGAGGUUAAUAACCUCAGCAAUUGACGUUACUCGCAGAAGAAGCACCGGCUAACUCCGUGCCAGCAGCCGCGGUAAUA
rnacentral:rRNA from 1 species